AUUGCAUGUUAACGUAUCAAUACCGCGCGACCAUUAGUUUUAAUUUUCUUAUUCGAUGACUCCGCCAAAAAUAAAUUUUUCAAAUAACGCUCGUGUCAAUAUUUUAGUUUCUUCUGAGUACAACGAGUGCCUGAUAUUAGUUUUACUCUGAUGGUUUGUUGAAAAGGCUUUAUCGGUUAGUGAAAAUUCUCCGACUUUUUCA